AUGGACUCAGGUGGCGAUCCAGAUGGACUCAGGCGGCGAGAUCUGGUGCGGGGAAUGAGGUUCUACGGCAGGCCGAUCCUGCAUGGGCGGGGUUCUCGGUGGGUUGGUGUGGGGGUGAUGGGACGGAAAAAACCGGUUGAAAAAAACCAGACAAAAAAAAAACCAGACGAAAGUGGGGGGACUAUUCAACCAACUCGUCCAUUAGAAGUAGAGAUUAGGAGUAGAGAUUACUCUCGAUCAAUAUAUAUAGCUCCCCCGCCUGUGAAAAUCCCUAUGCUGGAUUACUUCAAACCCCCGACCCGGUUUCACAUCGCCGAGGUCUUCGCCGUCAGUGAAUCUGGAAGCAAGGCGGUGCUCUCCGCUGCCAAGUUUCUUCUAGGGGUUUCAUCCUCUCUUGACGGUGAACCGCUGAGACGCUGCUCCGGCUUCUGGGUCGAUUGGGAUGAGGACAAGAAAACCGGCCUUGUUUUGACAACUGCGUGGCUGAUUCGCACAAAGGAUUCUCCUGACAGCGGCGAAGAGUAUGCUCCGCGUGCUGAUGUCACUGUUCAUUUGCUAAAUGGCACCAGUGCAAAGGGUGAUCUGGUCUACUACCAGCCCCAUUACGAUAUCGCUUUCUUGAAUAUUGAGGUGGAUCAACCUAUCAAGUUACCAUCUUUCUGUGAAGAAGGUGUAAAAUUUGCCGAAGACGUUUUUCGGCUCGGAAGAGAUAAUUCCUUGAAUCUAAGGAUAACAUAUGCUAGGGCAGAAUAUCAGAAUCCAAACAUGUAUCGGCGGUAUCACAAUGUACACUUCCGUUCUCCAGAUGGCCAUGGUGAUGAUAACGAGUAUGACAAUGGGGGCCUAGCCAUUGACUUGAAGGAAAAAGUUGUCGGAAUGGUCAACCUCCCUAAGAGAUUUUGGUCUUUCAUACCUUCUUCCAUUUUGUUCAAUUGUUUGGAUUCAUGGAAGAAAUAUCGCAGAAGGGGAUAA
rnacentral:rRNA from 1 species